rnacentral:ribozyme from 1 species
CGCGUUAUAGACAAUUUAUUUUCGGUAGAAUUCUACUUGUUAAGUUGACACGCACACCAUUAGUGAUCUGUGUGCUCUGCCACGCGG